GGUUUUUCCUGGUCACCGGGUCCGGUGUCCGUCUCCUCAUCAGGCCCCGGGUCAUCCCCCUCUACCUGCUUGUCGGUGGAACCGUGACUUUUGACAGAUGACGAAACCCAGGUGUCCUCGUACUCCGCCCCCAGGGAGCUUCUCCUGUAAGGCACCGGGGCAGGGGCACCAAACCCGAAAAAAAAGUUUCUCCCACCUUGGAAUGCGGAAAGGCUGUUUCCUGCCCUGCCAGUUAAGAAGCUUGUUAUCAGACCAGCCGUCUUCACUGCUCAAGGAGAAAUUUCUUGGAAUCAAUUAUCGACUCUGUUUUUGCUGUCCGCCCUUGUAACCAGGAAGGGAGCAAUCAUCGGCCAGUUUAUGAGACCUAAAAGGCCUGCAGAUGCACAGUCAAAACAGUUCCUGCUGUUCAUACUAUCAGGGGACAUUUUUCAUCUGAAUCCAUCUGAUGUUUGUUCCUCCAACAGUUUUGUUUGUACAAAUUUAUUCCUUUGAGUUUAGUUGCAGAGGAACAAAUGGAAAUACAUUUACUCAGCUGCGGUACACACGUAGUGCGGUACUUUUUAUUUAUUUAUUCAUUUUAUUUUUUUAUCUCAAAUGUGCUUACCCAUUACUCUGCAGGUUGAGAUUUUGAGCCCGUUAUGCACAAUAUAAUCAUUGUUGAGUAAAAACCCAAUGCCAACUUUUUAAGCUUCAUAAAAUGGCAUGUUAGAGCUGCUGCCAGCAUUUUUCCUUUUUGAUCAUCCACUACAAGAGGGAUUCAGCACCCUUUUUCAAGUUAUAUAUGUGAGUCGAGUGCAUUGUGUCUUAUUUGAAUGAAUUAGGUUAACAAUACCAACAGCUUAGCAUAAAAUUACAAAGUACGAGUAAAGGGACAGAACUAGGUUCAGUAGGAGGUGUAAAGAAUUGCAACAUCGGAAAUGUGGACGCUGACAUGGGAUAGUUCAACUCACUUUGAAAUAAAGUAAUUAAAAGAUGGAUGAAUUAAAUUAGAUAAAACGUUGGUGCAAGUAUGGCAUCAAGCGAAGGAUAUUUGAAUUACUUUUAAAGCCUUAAUAGUUAUGAAAUUGAAAUCACAACAUUCUAAAGGGCUGGCAGAUACCUGGAAAAGUAAAAUUAGUGUGCUAUAUAAAUAAACCUGGCUUUCAAUACUUGAGUACCUUUUAGUCCUUACUCCUGUGUAGUUUAGAAUUGAUAUACAUUUAUAACCUUUAAUCGAGUAAGUCUAACUACUGUCGUUCUGCUAAUUCUUCCACAUCUGUUCAGUUGUAGCCUCUAUCAAUUUGAAAUGUUCAGCAGCUCUUAAAAAUCACGGCACAAACGAGAGGCUUUGAAAGUCUAAACUCAUUAAAGCAAAUGGAGUGUGGGAAGUGUCAGCAGCUCAGAUGCCACAGCUGCUCAAAUAUUUCAGCGCUGGGCCCUGGGCCCGUCUGUCAAAGCUGAGCUGCUGCUCAGUUCGUAUAGGGUCAGACUUACUGCAGGCUUCACUUGGAAGAUCUUUCAGUAAUGCGUUCGUGGUUGACAAGAUAAGGGGCUAUAAAGCAAUCUCCCUCUGGACUUGAAGGAAAUCAGCAAAGUGACAGAGCUGAAGAAAGUGGAAAUGUAAUAUUUAAAUUCCACAACAUGUUUAUGCAACAUUGAAGCAAACAGGCUUGCCUUCCAAGAGAAACUGCAACAAGUAAAGCAUAUCAGAAUAAAUGCAUUAGUAGUAAAUUUAUUGAAAAAGAUACAACCAAUUAGAUGGAUGGUUCACGAUCCAGAAAUAUGUAACAGAACAGAAUGGAAGUGCAUUUUUAUAACCUUUUUUUUUUUUCAUUUAUACCUUUCAAGACUUUGCACAACAGUCACUGCUUUACUAACAACAUUUAAAAAGACGGGUUGGCUUCUGUCGGCAAAUUCAUGAAACAAAAUUAAAAACAGCCUAACUACAGUAACUACGAUUAGAAAACUGGAGUUAAAAUUAAACAUAAAAAACUUAAAACAUUCUCUUAUUUUACAAACUAUGUUCACUUCAGUAAUAAAAAUGAAAACAAAAGUAAAAACCUUUGUCAGCACCAUUUUCUUGUUUGUUUUCUAACUCAAUUUCAGUUAAAUCAAUUCUUCAACAACUGUGGCAAAAUACCUGACUCAUGACAAUCCCCUUAAACAUGCUUAGUAAAAAGACCAGCCAAUUUAUUCAGACUCGAAACACCUCAUUUUUGAGGAAUGGUACAGCAUCUUUGUGUCAUACAAUCUAUACUCACUGGUGUAGCAGAUUAAACAAACAGUCCAAUUUUUGCUCAGGUUCUUUGUCUUUCACAUCAUUUCAGUUAAUUAAUCAAUUUAUGAGCUAUGGUGGCAAAUGUUGGACAUGUCUGUUCAAACACUGCAACAAAGAUGAAGUGACUCAAAGAAGUGGCAUAAACAUAAUUCAGUAUUUAUCAGCUAGUUUUGCUGGAAUGGUUGAUGAUUAAUGAUCACAAAGGUCAACACAUUACACCCAGCUGUAUGCUGAGGUUGUCUUUGCAAAAGAUACCCUCAUCCCGAUCUUAAAAUUCCUUGAUCAUGACUCUUUAAGAAAAGCCAUAGCAAUAUCAAUUAAUCGUUAAAAAAAAAAGACAAAAUGCGCAGUUUUCCUUCCCACUAAAUUUAUCUAUGAAAUGUAAAGACUGUUCGUAUUGUCCCUGUGAAGUGUGUGCUCUUGCUGCCCCUGCUGUUCAAGUUACACAAGGUGGAAUAAAGGAGCAGCGAGAUAUCCAUGA